rnacentral:rRNA from 1 species
GAUGAGCCAAGUUUAAGAGUUUUACUUAUAAAACUCGAAAUGAUUUUAACUGAAGAGUUUGAUCAUGGCUCAGAUUGAACGCUGGCGGCAGGCUUAACACAUGCAAGUCGA